GCCUUCGUGGUGUAACGGUAGCACGCUGGGCCUGUAUUCCAGAAGUCCGUGGUUCGAUUCCUGGCGAAGGUG
rnacentral:tRNA from 1 species